CCGCAAUAGCGAUAGAAGCGGUUAUCCUUUUUUGUCAUGGUUUUGCUAAAAGCCAUGACAAAAAAGAUAGUAGCGGAUAGCGCGGUGCCAC
rnacentral:sRNA from 1 species